GUAGGUGGCAAGCGUUGUCCGGAAUUAUUGGGCGUAAAGCGCGCGCAGGCGGAUCAGUUAGUCUGUCUUAAAAGUUCGGGGCUUAACCCCGUGAUGGGAUGGAAACUGCUGAUCUAGAGUAUCGGAGAGGAAAGUGGAAUUCCUAGUGUAGCGGUGAAAUGCGUAGAUAUUAGGAAGAACACCAGUGGCGAAGGCGACUUUCUGGACGAAAACUGACGCUGAGGCGCGAAAGCCAGGGGAGCGAACGGGAUUAGAUACCCCGGUAGUCCUGGCCGUAAACGAUGGGUACUAGGUGUAGGAGGUAUCGACCCCUUCUGUGCCGGAGUUAACGCAAUAAGUACCCCGCCUGGGGAGUACGACCGCAAGGUUG
rnacentral:rRNA from 1 species